GAAAGGUGAGGUGAGCAGGGCCCAGCCAGGAAGGCCCCCGAACCAGACCGCCUCCCCGCUGCAACCCCUUCCGCCACGGCUUGAUUGCCUGCCGGUGGCUUUCCUUUUCUUCCUUCCCCUGCGCAGCUUCUCGCACACGCAGAUGCUGCUCUUCCUUCCGUCCCCGGACACGCAGGCAAGGCAAAGGCACCCACCACCAAAUAGGAAGGGGAGUUACUCCACCACCAGCCUAGCCUAGCCUAGCACAGCACAGCAGUGGGAGGGGGAGGCACCAGGGCAGGGCAGGGCAGGGCCGGAGAUGGAUGGAGAAUUGUUGCAGCGCAGCCCACUGCAAAGCUCCAAAUUACAACACGGAGCCCAACCACCACUUAUACGCCACCGCCACCGCCACCAUCGCCACCACUUUCCCCUCCCCGAUCCCCUCCCCAAACCCUAACCCCCUCCCCUCGGAUCCGCGCAUGGAGGCGUGACGGGCCGGGGGGAUGGACGCCGUGCCGGAGGACCUCCGCUGCAAGCGCUCCGACGGCAAGCAGUGGCGCUGCAGCGCCCCUUCCAUGCCCGACAAGACCGUCUGCGAGAAGCACUACGUCCAGGCCAAGAAGCGCGCCGCCUCCUCCGCGCUACGCGCCACGCUCCGCAGGUCCUCCCCCGCCUACGCCGCCGCCUCCUACGCGCAGCACCGCGAGGGCGACUCCGUCGCCGACGCUGACCUGCCCCUGCCAAUGGCUGUCGCGAGGCCCUUCUACGGCAGCGUCGUCGGGGAGCCUGUCUACGUGGCGGAACCGGCGGUGCGGAGGGGGCUGCCCCUCACCAAUGCUAUCNCAUGUCGGUGACGGCAGGAGCUAGUCGGGGGAGCCUCUGUAGGGCUGCAAGGCUGUGCGGAGGUGAAGACGAGUUGCCACCAAUGCCGGAGGAGUGUCAAUGCCGUUUGGUGUACCAGCUGUGACAGGAGGGGGUAUUGCGACGGCUGCAUCUCCAGAUGGUACUCUGACAUUGCAAUAGAUGAUAUUCAAAAGGUUUGUCCAGCAUGCCGUGGCAUUUGUAACUGCAAAUUUUGCUUACAAGGAGACAACUUAAUUAAGGCAAGGGUGCAGGAGAUAUCUGUUGUAGAUAAGUUGAAAUAUCUUCAUAGCAUUUUGGCAUAUGUUCUUCCAGUGCUAAAGCAGAUUUACUCCAACCAAUGCUUUGAAAUAGGUGUUGAAACAAGAGCUUAUGGGCCCAAGAUGGACAUCAUUAGGGCAAAGAUGAAUUCUGAUGAGCAAAUGUGCUGUGACUUUUGCAAAGUGCCAGUGUUUGAUUAUCAUCGACACUGUCCAAGUUGUUUGUAUGACUUAUGCCUUGACUGUUGUCGAGACAUUAGGCGCUCUCAGACAAAUGUAGUCAGAGGAGAAUAUGCUGAAAGUAAAGGUCCUGUGGUAGAGACAAAUAAAGAUAGUGCGAGUGACAGAGCAAGAUUGGAACCAUCUGCAGCAAGUGUCAACGAUAAGUUGUUCCCACAGCCGAUAGAUGCAAAUGAUAUUGGCAUCAGAUCUUUGUUUCCUACAUGGAGAGUCAACAAUGAUGGCAGCAUCACUUGUGGGCCUCAUGAGGCUGGUGGUUGUGGCUCCUCAAAGCUGGUAUUAAGGCGAAUAUUCAAAAUAAACUGGAUUGGUAAGCUUGUAAAGAGUUCUCAAGAAAUGGUUAAUGGUUGCAAAGCACAUGAUCUUGAGAAUGGAUGCUCAUCCUGUAACGAUAGCAGAAGAUUGGACUCAAUUGGUCGCCAUAACUUUGGUCUCUCAAAAUGUUCAGAUAGUGAUGGUAUUGAUGGGAAUUCUGUGUACUCUUCUGUACUGGAGAACUUAAAAUACGAGGGUAUUGUCCAUUUCCGUAAACACUGGAUAAAUGGGGAGCCUGUAAUUGUUAGGAAUGCAUUUGAGCCUUCUUUAUCAUCAAGUUGGGACCCGUUAAGUAUUUGGCGAGGAAUCCAGGAGAUCAUGGAUGAAAAAAUGGAUGAAAAUGCCAUAGUUAAAGCUGUGGACUGCUCAAACCAAUCAGAGGUGCAUAUCAAGCUCAACCAAUUUAUCAAAGGUUAUUCAGAUGGUCACAAGGGAGAAGAUGGCAAGUUAAUGAUGCUGAAAUUGAAAGAUUGGCCUCCAGUGAGCGUAUUAGAGGAGUUUCUGUUAUGCCAGCGACCAGAGUUCAUUGUCAAUUUUCCCUUAGUAGACUUUAUCCAUUCUAAGUGGGGCUUUCUUAACCUUGCGGCUAAGUUACCCCCAGAUGCCCUACAGUCUGAAGUAGGCCUAAAGCUGCUUAUUGCAUAUGGAAGGCAGCAACAACCUGGUAGAAGCGAUUCAGUGACAAAUCUGAUGGUUAAGAUGGGUGAUGUGGUACACAUGUUAAUGCAUAGAGCUGAAAUGCGUUACCUAUGUCCAAAGAGUCUACAACCUGAGCAGCCGGAAAGGAUUGCUAAUGGGAUGGCAGUGCAUGUAAAUGCUCAUGCACCUGUGCAAAAUUUGAAUCUGGAUAUGGGGGAACAAUCACCUGAACACACAGUUUCUAAGUCUUGCAGCCCUUCUGUAGGAUCUUCUGCUGAACUAUCGAGUUCAUCACAUUCAGAGCAACCAAAAACUAAUGGUGUAGAAAGAUCUCAGCCUGGUGCUCUUUGGGAUGUCUUCCGCAGGCAGGAUGUGCCGAUGCUGAAUAAAUAUUUAGCUUCUAACUGGGAGGAACUUACAAAUAACAGUCAGGCGAUGCUCUCUGUGAAGCAUCCUAUUUAUGAUCAAGCUGUAUAUCUCAGGGAGCAUCAUAAAAGGGUAUUAAAGGAUCAAUAUGGAAUUGAACCUUGGACAUUUGAACAACAUAUUGGCGAGGCUGUUUUUAUUCCAGCUGGCUGUCCUUACCAAGUAAAAAAUCUCCAGUCUACGGUUCAGUUGGCUCUGGAUUUUUUGUCGCCUGAGAGUUUGCGGGAGUCGGCUCGUAUGGGCCAAGAGAUACGCUGCCUGCCAAAUCAUCAUGAUGCAAAACUGAAGAUGCUUGAGGUUGGAAAGAUAGCUUUAUAUGCAGCAAGUUCCGCUGUCAAAGAAAUUCAGAAAAUAACCCUCGAUCCCAAGUUUAAUCUGGAUAUCAGAUUUGAGGAUCAGAACCUAACCCGGGCAGUUUCAGAGAACUUGGCUAGAGUCACUAAACAACGAAAGGUGUCUUGUGGUUGACAUUCUACAAGCCCUCAGGAGAUGCGGGAUGUAAAAUUGAAACUGAAACCCAUGUGAAGUAGAUAUAGCAAAUUGUACAUGUAGCAUACCAUGUCCCGAAAGGAACACAUUCACAACUCUUGUCAGAUAGUAUUGACCUCACCUGUAUAUUGUGGGUUAGGACUAACGGCUGUGCUCAUGUCAACAAAAAUAAUGUGUUGAGCAAUUAAUGAACAUUACAAUGAGAGUAUGAAUGAUAACUGCUCUUCCGCCAUUUUGAAGAGAAUUUCAGACAA